rnacentral:rRNA from 1 species
UACGGAGGGUGCAAGCGUUGUCCGGAAUCACUGGGCGUAAAGGGCGCGUAGGCGGUUUGGCGCGCGUGCGGUGAAAGCUCGGGGCUUAACCCCGAGUCUGCCGUGCGGACGGCCAAGCUAGGGCACUGUAGAGGCAGGUAGAAUUCCGGGUGUAGCGGUGGAAUGCGUAGAGAUCCGGAAGAAUACCGGUGGCGAAGGCGGCCUGCUGGGCAGUAGCCGACGCUGAGGCGCGACAGCGUGGGGAGCAAACAGG